UCACAAGGUGAGCGCUCCGCGGCCAUUUUGUUAGCUGUGUAGCUGUGCGGAUUUCGUAAAUUAAAUUUAAUCGAAAACAACAACUUGUCGACGUUUUUGUUUAUAUUGUGUUUUCAAUGAGUAUCUAGUAGGCUAGAAUAAGACUUGUUUAUUCGCUGACAUUUAAACAUAGUCAUUAAUUUUCCGAGCUGCUUUGAGUUUGCUAGCUCUUCGGCUAGCUGGCUAACUUGUUUAGCGUUGAGAGAAAUAAAUUCGGCUUUCAUGACCGCCAGCUUUUGAAAGUUACAGCUAUCGAAUGUGCACGGUUUGUCCGCUCCUGACUUCUGUUGUUUUUACUUGGUUUUUGUUUAAAUAGAAGAGCACCUGGGCCAGGUUUGAGACCUUUAAACUCGCGUUGCAUCCCUAUUUAAAUCAACAACUUGAGCUCUGUUAUUAGCUGACUGCUCUCGGACCAGGGCUCAGCCAUCCCGGAGCGACAUGUCAGAGCUGUAUAUUCGGGUGGCUGAGGAUGAGAAUGAGGAGCCCAUGGAGAUCCCUUCAGAGGACGAUGGGACUGUUCUGUUGUCCUCGGUAGCUGCCCAAUUCCCCGGGGCUUGUGGUCUGCGAUACAGAAACCCGGAGUCCCAGUGCAUGAGGGGGGUCCGGCUGGUGGAGGGAAUCCUGCAUGCACCAGAGAGCAGCUGGGGAAACCUGGUCUAUGUCGUUAACUACCCCAAAGAUAACAAAAGAAAGAUGGAUGAAAUAGACGCAGCAUCGGCUGUUAAAAUUAAAAGAGGUUUUCAGAAAACAUCAGAUCUCAUAGUCCUCGGGUUGCCUUGGAAAACAACAGAACAAGACCUCAAAGACUAUUUUACUACCUUUGGGGAGGUCAUCAUGGUGCAGGUGAAAAGAGACGCAAAAACUGGCAACUCAAAAGGUUUUGGGUUUGUCCGCUUUACUGACUAUGAGACACAAACGAAAGUCAUUGCUCAGAGACACAUGAUUGAUGGAAGAUGGUGUGACUGCAAACUUCCAAACUCAAAGGCAUCUCCCGAUGAACCGAUGCGAAGCCGUAAAAUCUUUGUCGGCCGCUGCACAGAGGACAUGACGACAGAUGAUCUGAGGCAGUACUUCAUGCAGUAUGGUGAAGUCACUGACGUCUUCAUUCCCAAACCUUUCCGGGCGUUUGCAUUUGUCACAUUUGCUGAUGAUCAGGUUGCCCAGGCACUGUGUGGAGAGGACCUGAUCAUCAAGGGUGUCAGCGUGCACAUUUCCAACGCUGAACCCAAACACAAUAACAGUAGGCAAAUGAUGGAUCGGGGGCGGUUUGGGGCUGGCGGGUUCAGUCAAGGGUAUGGUAGUAAUCGCGGUGGGCUAGGCAGCGGUAGUGGUGGGGUUAACUUUGGUGCUCUGGGCCUUAACCCAGCAAUGGUGGCAGCAGCUCAGGCAGCACUGCAGAGUAGUUGGGGAAUGAUGGGCAUGCUGGCUAACCAGCAGGGGUUGACCACAGCAGCAGGCACAGCCUCUACGACCAGAGAUCCGACGUAUAGCUCUGCCAGCACCAGUUACAGCAGCCCCAGCUCAGCUAGCCUCGGCUGGGCUGCAGGCACUAACACCGUCCCCAGCAGCGGCUUCAGCUCCGACUUUGGCACGUCAAUGGAGUCCAAGUCUUCUAGUUGGGGAAUGUAGGCAGCUGAGAGUUGACAUUUUCUCUUUCUGUUAGGCAGGUCUGGUAAGUAUACCUGCAGGAAGGAAUGGCUUAUAUCUUAUUUAAAAAGAAGAAACACUGCCUUUUAUUUUGUUAAAGCAAACAUUUCUACUUGUGUGACUGGCUGUGUAGUCAUGCAUUGAAUGGGUGAAAAGUUUAGUUUGUGGAACCCUCCUAGCAGUAGUUUGGUUUGUGAGAAAAUGUUCAGAGGAGAUGACCAUGCAUGCACCACAACUAUUUAUAUACAUGCACGAGUAUGUUCAAAUCUCCCCACAGUCGGUUGUUAAGCUGGCUGUUAGAUAAUUAUAUAUUUAUGCAUUAUAUUGUAGUUUGUUUUGUUUGUUUUUUUUUUCUUUUGGAAACGGCUUCAUGAACGUCUCUUCCGCAGUUCACCAACUCUUUCACAAUUUCCCGGGAGGAGUCACAUCAUUGGCUGCAAUGUUGGGCAGAUCUCAGUAUCCCUUCCCCUCCUCCCACGUGUAAAUGCUUUAUCAUCCGAGAACACAGCUUCACUCUGCAUAUACGGUGUUAGACGGUGGGUGUUGCCUUUCUUUCCUCCCCUCCCUCUUUUUUUUUUUCUUUUUCCGGGAUAUAGAAAUCUUGUCUGCCCUUGUCGCGUUUUGAUCUCAUUGAGUGGAUUUGGUGUUGGACCGAAUGAGAGUGAGCAAAAGGAAGGAAAGCAAGUACUGUUUGUGCUUUAUUUUUAUUUUUUGAAAGACAAAUGCCUGGGCGAGAUGAGAGGAACCUGUGGCUUUGUGCGAGUGUGAGAGGAAGAAGCAAAGAUCGUCGGAUAUGGAAAAGCCAGAUUUUCUUCUGAGCCCUGGUUUGGAGUUGGCCACGCUGAAGAUGAAGCCAAAACCGCCUUAAUUCUGGGACGGAUCUACGGCACCUCAUUAGCAAGAAACAUUCGAUCACUCAGAGUGAUGAUUUUAAAAUUUAAGAUAUUUGUUGUUGUUAUUUUUACAUAUUGGGACCUUGUUAGAAAUUUCUUUUUUUUUUUUGUCUUCCAAAACUGUUCAAAUCUACCUCGCUAGAACAUGUUCGUAAAUAUCUUUCACUUCACAAGUUACACAUACAUGUGAGUAUAAAUCAUUCAAUUAGUAAUGUGGUAAAAAGUUGUAUUAGAAUAGCAGGAUAUGUUGACAGCUGUUUACUUUAAUGAUGAAGUGUAUUGGCAUUUUACAGUUUAAGGAUUUUAGUGCAGGCAGAAUCAAACUUUGUAUUGAGAUAUUAGUGUUGCAUUGUAAAAUAAAAACAUAGUUUUUUUUAA